rnacentral:lncRNA from 1 species
CCGAUAUAAGGCGGCGCGGGCGCGGAAGGAGCUGUCGCACCCAGCGGUGGUGUUGGAGGGGGAGGAGCGAGGAGGAAGACUUGCCAGACAAGAUCCAAAACCAGUGUGACCUUCACAUUUCUAAUAAGGCGAUUCUGAAACUCCAAGUAGAGGAUUCCUAGCCUGAACUCUUGAGCUACUCAGUACAGGCGUUUGAAGAUGCAGCAAGCCUGGUAGUGGGGACAGAAAGAAUCUCCUUAAAGAAGUUG